UGGUAACCAAAAGCGUUUGUUUCUUUCCCCUUUCCCAACCUCAGCGCACCAACCCUUUACCAAUGCGAGUUAACAUUAUAUCACCCGUUAAGGAGUUUUGACUAACACAACAGUUCUCAUCUGGCUUCACAGCACCUGUUCUGUUGCCCAUGGUCACCGUUUUAAGAAAUGUGUUAUUUAUAUAAUAUUAUUUAUAGUCCCGGUCGGCGGUUUUAUGAGGAUGGCGAUGAAGCACGAUGCGGACGCAGAUGAUGAUCCACCCUACAUGGUGAUCAAGACCAGAGACGACCACAGAGACCACAACUUUAGCAGAUCCGAACCUCCUCAACACAUAUCUUCUGUCCCUGGCCGAGGGGAUAUGUUUGGCAUGGCUUUCCAACUGGGAGAGGAAUACGAAAAGAAGAAGAAGAAACUUCAACAGGAGCUUCGGUUGGACUACAGGAGCUUUGUUUCCAAGGAGAAGCUGAGGGACGAGAGGAAGAAGGAGUACAACCUAUUCCUCAAGGAGCAGGAGGGACUCAAAUCGGGCGUCUCGAAGAGACAGUCCAGCCUCCCUUCUAAGUCGUCCCCAUGGGGGCUCGACACGGACCCCUUGCCGCGGUCAGCGGGCGCGUCCCCCGUCCUGUUGCCCGACCACCACCAGCACUCUGACGACGGUUUCCACGACGACCCGCCUCCUCCGGCCAGGCGGGGGCGGUCCACGCCACAGGAGGAGGACGGAGGCGGGCCGUAUCCCAGACGACGGCGGCGGCAGUGGGAGGUGGGCCGGGAGGCGAGGAGACCCCCGCCGUGGUGGUUCUGAGGGGCGGAGCCUAUGAGAGGAGGAGACCCCCCAGGAGGAGGGGUAGGAGGAAGAGCCGGGCGGAGUACAGCUCCGAGGAGGAAGAGGAGGAGACGGCGAGCGGCGAGGAGGAGGAGCUGGAGUACGGCGGGAAGGAGUACGACCAGGGGACGGACGGAGGGCGCGGGGGGGCCGGGCGCCGGGAGGGGAGGAGGAAGGAGGACAGAGCAGACAGGCGUCAGAGGAGCAGGAAGGAGGACCACCUCUUCCCCCCCAUCAGGCCACCAGGGGGGGGGGCGUCCUGAAGCCCCGGUCAGCAACCUCCAGCAUGAAUCGACCCGCUACCGACCCCUUGGCCAUGAUGACCACGGAGCGCGCGAGGUCCGCGGCACCCCGGCCCCGCGCCGAGGCGGUCGCCACCGGACUGGCGAUUGGGGCGGUGGAAGGGAGCGAGGUCGCUCAGAUGAAGAAGGAGCGCUACCGCCUGGAGCUGCUGGAGCAGAUGGCCGAGAAGCAGAGGAGCAAGAGGAGGGAGAAGGACCUGGACAUGAGGUCGAUCACCACUGGGGCUUCAGACCCUGAGAAGAAGCCUGACCGCUUCGCCCAGCUUGGGUCCUCCACCCCCGGGCACGACGUCCCUAGGACGGGGCCUCCCAGGGG
ensembl:lncRNA